rnacentral:rRNA from 1 species
CCAAUAGCGUAUAUUAACGUUGUUGUGGUUAAAAAGCUCGUAGUUGAACCUUGGGCCUGGCUGGCCGGUCCGCCUCACCGCGUGUACUGGUCCGGCCGGGCCUUUCCCUCUGUGGAACCUCAUGCCCUUCACUGGGUGUGACGGGGAAGCAGGACUUUUACUGUGAAAAAAUUAGAGUGCUCCAAGCAGGCCUAUGCUCGAAUACAUUAGCAUGGAAUAAUAAAAUAGGACGUGCGGUUCUAUUUUGUUGGUUUCUAGGACCGCCGUAAUGAUUAAUAGGGACAGUCGGGGGCAUCAGUAUUCAAUUGUCAGAGGUGAAAUUCUUGGAUUUAUUGAAGACUAACUACUGCGAAAGCAUUUGCCAAGGAUGUUUUCAUUAAUCAGGAACGAAAGUUAGGGGAUCGAAGACGAUCAGAUACCGUCGUAGUCUUAACCAUAAACUAUGCCGACUAGGGAUCGGACGAUGUUAUUUUUUGACUCGUUCGGCACCUUACG